CAUGGGGUACUUGACUGCCGAAGAGGAGAGUGGAAUGUCGCGCGUAGCGGUGAAUGCGUAGAGAUGUGGAGGAACACCAGUGGCGAAGGCGACUCUCUGGUCUGUAGCUGACGAUGAGGAGCGAAAGCGUGGGGAGCGAACAGGAUUAGAUACCCUGGUAGUCCACGCCGUAAACGAUGAGUGCUAAGUGUUAGGGGGUUUCCGCCCCUUAGUGCUGCAGCUAACGCAUUGAGCACUCCGCCUGGGGAGUACGGUCGCAAGCAUGAAACUCAAAGGAAUUGACGGGGGCCCGCUCAAGCGGUGGAGCAUGUGGUUUAAUUUGAAGCAACGCGCAGAACCUUACCAGGUCUUGACAUCCUCUGACAAUCCUAGAGAUAGGACGUCCCUUUCGGGGGCAGAGUGACAGGUGGUGCAUGGUUGUCGUCAGCUCGUGUGGUGAGAUGUUGGGUUAAGUCCCGCAACGAGCGCAACCCUUGAUCUUAGUUGCCAGCAUUCCCUUAUAUUUUCUGGGGCGGCCGGCGGUGACAAACCGGGGGAAGGUGGGGAUGACGCGCAAUCAUCAUGCCCCCUAUGACCUGGGUUUCCCACGUGAUUCAAUGGACAGAACAAAGGGCAGCGAAACCGCGAGGCUAAGCGAAUGCCACAAAAACCUCGCGGUUCGGAUGGCAGUGUUAACUCGACUGCGCACGUGUGGAACCCCAGUAAUCACGGACCAGCAUGCUCGACGUGCAUGAACC
rnacentral:rRNA from 1 species